AGGUAUUUCGAUUCAGGUCAGACAACAAACAAUACUCAAUUCCCACCAUAUAUCAAAUAAAGGAAAUUUACUUGUAUAUCCUGCCACGCUGACUGUUUAAAUUUAAGAUGGUUUUCUUUACUUGAUGAAAAAAGUGUUCGAGUGACAAAACGUGGCAAACCAAUUUUUCUGUACUUUUUGUACUUAUGGAUUUUCCAAAUGUCUCUCAAAAGUUUGAAUCCUUCGAAAAAGAGCAUUAAAAAUGCUUGCAGUUAAAUAUUUAUUUGCAAACACAACUGCUAAAUCUGUUUACAAUUAUUAAAAAAUGUUUCGACUUCAAAUAGGACAGCUACAUGGAAAAGAAGACAGUGAAACUCAUACAUAGAAAAAUGCCCCAUGGAAACUAAAAUUCAAAAUUUGUAGUACACACUUGAAUAUAGCUGUGGUUAAAUCAAAAACUUUGUUUCAGAGGACAGGUGUGUGUAAGACAUCUUUCUUUGAAUUGCUUAAUUGUGCUUCAUAGUAUAUGAUUUGUACAGCAAAAGGUUUUUAUUACAAAAUCUCUAACACACGAAACAGCAAUACAGUUUUAUGAGGAAAAAAUACAAAAUUGCAGAUGCUUAUAAUAAGAUAAGUGACUUCAUAACUUCCACUUGACAGUAGAAUUAGAACAGAUCCAAUAUAAUACAAUGCAGGCAUAAGAUGUGCAUGUCCAUGCAAAUGAACAUUUAAAAACAAAUUGGAAGAGAAAUAAUAAGAAAGGUGGACUCAUAACUUAAGAGCAGCGU